rnacentral:misc_RNA from 1 species
CAAUCAUCUAUAUAAAAUUUAAACUAUUAAGAAAUCAUCGAACAUCCAGAAGUUUUUAGCAUUCAAAUUAAUAGUCAUAUUCUAGAGAUCUUCAAUAGAUUUUUCAUCAAAGUCCUCUACCAUUCAUCUCAUGUCCAAAAUAAGAUCCAUUUUCAUCUAAAUCUUCAUCUAAAUCAACGUUAACCUUAAAGUUGAAGCUCUUUUUUAGUUAAACUUUUAAAAUUUUGCGCUUCUUUCAAUGAAGCGAGCGCUUUUUUAGCACUUUAAGUGAUGGGGUGAUGUAUUGCUUUGAG